UCAGCCCUAAACCUAAGUAAUUUUUAAACAAAAUUACCCGCCAGAGAACUACUAGCAACAGCUUAAAACUCAAAGGACUUGGCGGUGCUUUAUAUCCCU
rnacentral:rRNA from 1 species